AUACGAAGGGCCCUAGCGUUGCGCGGAAUCACUGGGCUUAAAGCGUACGUAGGCGGACAAGCACGUAUCUUGUGAAAUCCCUCGGCUCAACCGAGGAAUUGCUUGGUAAACCGCUUGUCUUGAGGCGAUUAGGGGCUGUCGGAACGAUAGGUGGAGCGGUGAAAUGCGUUGAUAUCUAUCGGAACGCCAAAGGCGAAGGCAGACAGCUGGGCUCGUACUGACGCUGAGGUACGAAAGCGUGGGGAGCGAACGGAAUUAGAAACCCCAGUAGUCC
rnacentral:rRNA from 1 species